rnacentral:rRNA from 1 species
AUUGAACGCUGGCGGCAGGCCUAACACAUGCAAGUCGAGCGCGCGGCGGACGGGUGUGUAAUGUCUGGGAAACUGCCUGAUGGGGGGGGGUAACUACUGGAAACGGUAGCUAAUACCGCAUACCCUCAGAUAUGUCCAGAUGGGAUUAGGUAGUAGGUGGGGUAACUGCUCACCUAGGCGACGCUCCCGAGCUGGUCUGAGAGGAUGACCAGCCACACUGGAACUGAUACACGGUCCAGACUCCUACGGGAGGCAGCAGUGGGGAAUAUUGCACAAUGGGCGCAAGCCGGAUGCAGCCAUGCCGCGUGUGUGAAGAAGGCCUUCGGGUUGUAAAGCACUUUCAGCGAGGAGGCGUUACCCGCAGAAGAAGCACCGGCUAACUCCGUGCCAGCAGCCGCGGUAAUAC